GGCUGGUUGCCAGUUAUGUAACCUCCUCACUGUUAGAUGAAAUCUCAUUUCACUGUGCUGUGUGCAUUAGGUCUGGUUCACGUUGAGCUACCUGAGAGGAGCUGGGAACAUGCUGUUUCUCAUCAUUUUCACCCAGCAAGAGAACUGGAAAGAGAGAGCUACACCCAAACCAAUUAUGGUCAGGCCCUCUGGGCUGUUACAUAAUAUUUCAGGAGACAGUGGAGUGAAGCGGACCUCAGCAUCCCAGAGGUGUGCUGCCAAGGCCGUGUGCUCUCUGUGCUUGGAAGUCUUGGAAGCCUCCUACCACCCUCUGAGAAGAUUUUCCAGGCAAAACCCAGAUCUGCUGUAGUGACUUCAGAAGAAAGAGGUUUGAAGGAGGAUGAGAAGCCGAUAGCCAACGGGCAGCAGCUGUGUGACAGUCGCUGGAGGACGGGGUGUUACAGCUAAAUUGAUACGAGGUGAUGCUGGGAGUGGAGCCAUCAGAUGUGAAAGCAAAGCGUCUCGGGGACUGUGCAGCAAACCACUGUGGAAUGAAGACCCAAUUCGUAAGGCAAUUAAUUUGCAUACUACUUUGUGAUCCAAAAGUUCAUAUCAUAUUAAAGUUGUUUUAAGUGUUUCAUUUCCUCCUUUGCUCUUUUGCUUAUUUUUUCUUGGCUCAAAAUUUACUCAUUUUUUAACAUUUUCAUAACACCAUAAGGGCACCCCCUCCCCAAGUUCACAGCCUGACUCAAGGCCAUCACAUGACUGGUGCCUGGUGGUAGCAGACGUGAACACUGCUCUAUUUGACUAGCCUCACUGGCCAGCAAGUGCUCCUGCAUUUUCUAGGAAUAUCCCGGAUGACCUGGAAGUACUUGGAGCAGAGUUAUUUUUCUCUGAAGUUUUGGGAAGUGGAGCAUGAGGACUCGGGAGAAGAGAAGUAGCAGGACUCUCUUCCAGCCACUGUAUUCCUUGGCUGUUGCCUUCUAUUCGUGUGUGUGUGUGUGAGCGCGUGUGCUCAAGUCAAUUGUGAGAUCCUCGAAGGUAGUCCCUCUGUCACCUGUUUGCCCUGUAUCUAACCCAUACUAUUUCCCCUUCCCCUAGUUUAAUAUAAGAUUUUGUGCCUCACAAAGAUGAGACACAAAGACACAUCUUGGGACACAAAGAUGCAAAAAAGACUCUUGGUUUGACUUGGUCCCUUAGCAGCUGAACCCACUCAUGGCCCUGCUGUCCCCAGAAGACAUGCACAUGCUUGCCUUUGCACAGCCUGCCACCAGGCCUUUAGGUAGAAGAGAUCCACAUCUGCUCUGAAGGGCACUCAGGCUCUGCAGGCCUCAGCCUUGUUGAAACGUCUCUGCCACCUUGGAGGAAGCUGCAACAGUGGAGGCUGUUCCAGGCUCUACCGCUGUGCAUCUGUUCCUACCAGGGCAGGCUCCUGUUGUAUCCCGGGAGUUUCCUCAUCCUGGAAUGUGAGGUGGAAGGAGGUUAGCUUCUCUACACCCUCCUCCCUUCCUCUUCCCCUCUCCUGACCCCUGGUAGGAGCUCUUAGAGUAUUCUUUGGCUCCAGUGGAC
ensembl:lncRNA